rnacentral:rRNA from 1 species
GAUGAACGCUGGCGGCGUGCCUAAUACAUGCAAGUCGAGCGAACAGACGAGGAGCUUGCUCCUCUGACGUUAGCGGCGGACGGGUGAGUAACACGUGGAUAACCUACCUAUAAGACUUGGAUAAAUUCGGGAAACCGGAGCUAAUACCGGAUAAUAUAUUGAACCGCAUGGUUCAAUAGUGAAAGACGGUUUUGCUGUCACUUAUAGAUGGAUCCGCGCCGCAUUAGCUAGUUGGUAAGGUAACGGCUUACCAAGGCGACGAUGGGUAGCCGACCUGAGAGGGUGAUCGGCCACACUGGAACUGAGACACGGUCCAGACUCCUACGGGAGGCAGCAGUAGGGAAUCUUCCGCAAUGGGCGAAAGCCUGACGGAGCAACGCCGCGUGAGUGAUGAAGGUCUUCGGAUCGUAAAACUCUGUUAUUAGGGAAGAACAAAUGUGUAAGUAACUAUGCACGUCUUGACGGUACCUAAUCAGAAAGCCACGGCUAACUACGUG